rnacentral:rRNA from 1 species
GACGAACGCUGGCGGCGUGCCUAACACAUGCAAGUCGAACGGAAGGGCCCUGCUUUUGUGGGGUGCUCGAGUGGCGAACGGGGGAGUAACACGUGAGUAACCUGCCCUUGACUUUGGGAUAACUUCACGAAACUGGGGCUAAUACCGGAUAGGAGCUCCUGCUGCACGGUGGUGGUUGGAAAGUUUCGGCGGUUGGGGAUGGACUCGCGGGUUAUCAGCUAGUUGGUGGGGUAGUGGCUUACCAAGGCUAUGAAGGGUAGGCCGCCUGAGAGGGUGACCGGCCACAUGAGUACUGCGGUAGGGACCAGACUGCUACGGGAGGCAGCAGGGGGGAAUCUUGCACAAUGGGCGGAAGCGUGAUGCAGAAACGCUGGGUGCGGGAUGCCGGCUUUCGGGUUGUAAACCGCUUUCGCCUGUGACGAAGCGUGAGUGACGGUAAUGGGUAAAGAAGCACCGGCUAACUACGUG